AUGGCCUCUUCGAAGAUCCGUAAACUUUGCAAUUUUUGUGGUGGUUUAUGGAUUCAAAGCGAGGCCUAAAUUAACGAUCAUGUCCUUUUAUAUUAAGAAAAGGGCGUAUCAUUGAAUUUUUCAAUUUCCAAAGGGAAGAAAACAAAUGAUGUUGUGCUAUUUCAUGCAUUUCUUUUUCUUUUAUUCAAUGACACAUGU
rnacentral:snoRNA from 1 species